UGGACGUGACCUCCUAGGUCUCAAACAGAACUCCCAUUUUUUUUUCCUUCCAUGAUUCUACCCCAAAGGAGCUUCUUCUGGAUCCUUCCAUCUCUGGGAAUUCUGCAACCCUGACCAGGCAUCUGGACCAGAAACCUGGAAGCAGGGCAAGGUUCAUGGGUGUGUGACCUCUGCAACUCACAGGGCCCCAUGCUUAGCAGAGUCCCACACUUCGUUUAAUGCUCUGCUGUCACCACUUUUUUUUUUUCCUUUUUUUUUUUUUUUUAGGGCCACACCCACAGCAAACGGAGGUUCCUAGGCUAGGGGUCAAAUUGGAGCUGCAGCUGCUGGCCUAUGCCACAGCCACAGGCACACCAGAUCUGAGCUGCGUCUGUGACCUACACCACAGCUCACAGAAAUGCUGGGUCCUUAACCCACUGAGUGAGGCCAGGGAUCGAACCCACAUCCUCACAGAUCCUAAUCAGGUUUGUUACUGCUGAGUCAAGAUGGUAAGUCCUGCUGUCACCAUCUUGAGAUUCUUUUUUUUGUUUGUUUGCUUUUUAGGGCCGCACCCACAACAUAUGGAGGUUUCCCAGGCUAGGGGUCGAAUUGGAGCUACAGCUGCUGGCCUACACCACAGCUACAGCAGCUCGGGAUCCAAGCUGUGUCUGCCACCUACACCACAGCUCAUGGCAACGCUGGAUCCUUAACCUCCUGAGCAAGGCCAGGGAUGGAACCUGCAACCUCAUGGUUCUUAGUUGGAUUCGUUUCCGCUGUGCCACAACGGGACCUCCCUUGAGAUUCUUAAUAAGCCCUGAACUAAGGGUCCAACCCUCUCGUUCUGCAUGAGGCCCCUUAAUUUACGUAGCCACUCCUGCCAGGAAGGCUCCAGCCCCCAUCACCCUCCUCACCCGAGCCCGGCCUUCACAUCCAAUCAGUCCUGUUCGCUUUCCUCCCUCUGCCCCUCUUCGCUAUCUGGGAAUAAGAGAGCCAGCCUCUCUGGGUUGGAAUUCUGGCUUUCCCACUUUCCAAAUGUGUAGUCUAAUCGAAUCGGCUUAACCUGUCUCUACCUCCAUUUUCUCUUCUGUCAGAUGGGGUUGAUACCAGCAAUUACCUGAUAGGGUUGUUAAAAAGAUUAAAAAGCCAGAGUUCCCACUGUGGCACAGUGGGUUAAGAACCUGACUGCAUGGAGGUCCUGUGGUGGCUUAGCAGAAACGAAUCUGACUUGUAUCAAUGAGGAUGUGUGUUCGAUCCCUGGCCUUGCUAAGUAGGUUAAGGAUCCAGUGUUGCCGUGAGCUGUGGCGUAGGCUGGCGGCUACAGCUCUGAUUCGACGACUCCUAGCUUGGGAACCUCCAUAUGGCAUGGGUUCAGCCCUAAAAAACCAAAAAAUAAACUGAAAAAAAAAAAAAGAAUCCGACAGCUGUGGCUCAAGUCACUGCUGAGGCGGGGGUUCGGUUCCUGGUCCUGGCACAGUGGGUUAAAGGAUCUGGCUUUGUGGCAGCUGCAGCUUGGAUUCAAUCCGUGGCCCAGGAACUUCCAUAUGCUGUGGGUGCAGCUAUUAAAAAACAAAAAACAACAAAAAAGGGGAGUUCCCAUCAUGGCACAGUGGAAACGAAUCCGACUAGGAACGAUGAGAUUGCGGGUUUGAUCCCUGGCCUCGCUCAGUGUGUUGAGGAUCUAGCGUUGCCGUGAGCUGUGGUGUUGGUUGCACAUGUGACUCAAAUCUGGCAUUGCUGUGGCUGUGGUGUAGGCCAGCAACUGUAGCUCCAAUUGGACCCCUAGCUUGGGAAUCUCCAUAUGCCACGGGUGCGGCCAUAAAAAGCAAAAAAAAAAAAAAAAAAAGCAGUCCUUGCGAAGGGUUAAUACAGAGCCUGGCACAUACUAAGUGCUCAAUAAAUGACAGCCACUGAUGUCAUCAUUUCCUCCCACUGUCACUCUCUUAGUCCAGGGUCUUCGUCCCUUGCCCAUGGGAGCAUAAGAGCCUCAGAACUGAACUCUUGUUCAUCCCCUGCAGUCAGUGACUUUUUCUAGGACUCAAAUCCAGCUCCUGACUCCUUUGCUUAAAACGCUUCCGUUGUGAGCUCCAAACUCUGUACAUGGUUUCUAAAUCCCUGCAGGAUCCCAGCCUCAUUGUUCUUUCCCUGUGACUUGGUACCUUGGGAUGAGGCAUCGGUUUUACUUUCCAACAUGCUUCCUGCUGUAUCCAGCCUCAGCGCCUUGGUUUUUGUCGUUGCGUCUGCUUGCAUAUUCCUCCACAGCUUUCUCACAAGCUUCCUUCUCCCUGUCUCUGGGUCUUAUCUCCGGCAUCACCUUCUCCAGGAAGUGUUCCCCAUCCACCUUCCUCCUUUGGUGGAAAAAGGCCUCUCCCUCUGGAGCCCAAGGCCUCUCCCAGUGCAUCCCGCACCCAAGCACUCACCCUGGGUUAUACAGCCUUGUGUGCAGGCCUUUACCCGCCUCUAGCCUGAAAACCCUUCCCAGGCAUCAACCACACUUUCCAUUUCUGUGUCUGUUGCUUGUCUUAAGGUCAACUUCAUAGUAGGUUCUCAAGAGGGUUUGUGGAAUGAAUGUGGGGCUGGAGCUACAAUCUCAAGGUGGACUAAGGAAAUCACCCUUUCUAGGGUAAGGACAGCAGGAAGUUUCUGUUUGGGGUGUUUCAAGUAUCUUGCCUCCAAAUACUUAAAACAACCCCUCUAUCCCUAGUUUAUUUUCUCUGUGCAGGCCUGUUGUUGCCAUGGAGCCAGAGCAUGGAGAAAAUACUAAUAUCCAUCUGGGGAAUUUGGCUUUUGCUCAAAUGUUUGGGGCAAAAAUAGAAUUUAUUGGCAGAUGUAACUGAAAUCUGCAGGGAUAUCUAGCUUCAGGCAUAGCUGGAUCCAGGUGCUCAAAUGAUAUUAGGAUCCCUUUUUUUCCCCCUUUUUCUCCAGCUCUAGGCCCCUAUUUCCUCUGUUAGCUUCACUCAGUUCCUGCCACCAUCACCUCCACCAUUGAUAAUAGCAGCUCCAAUCUAUUAACAUAGAAACCCCCUCAAAUAUGGAGUACCCCUUUCCUGAUAGAUCUUGGGAAGUUUCUGGCUUGGGUCACAUGGACAUUCCUGAACCAACUACAAUAGCCAAAGGGAUUAGCUACUCUGGUUGGUCAGACUGGGCCAAGUGCCUCAUGAGUCAGCCGCAUGAGACCCAAAGGGAUUGAGGGAAGGGUAGGGUGAUUCUCAAGGAAACCUGGGGGCAGAGACCAGAAGGGAGAUGGAUGUUGAUGGGCACAGACCACCUGCCCACUGCUUCCCAUCCUAGUUACUCACCAAGUGAACCCGCUUCGGACCCCUCCUCCCCCUCAGCCAGUGGCGCCUUGGCGUAACCAGGGAUUCCAGGGGUCCUCACCUCACGUUUAACUCCGAGGAAACAUACCCAGAAGGGGAGGAGACGUGCCUCGAGUCACACUCUGGAAUCGAUUUUCCUGGAAGCAUGUCUCUUUCUGCUCCUGGGAACAAAGGUGAGGAAAACAGGAUCAUUCUUGGAGAGUCGCUUGCUGAUCUUGGAUCCAAAGAAGAGGAUGAAGUCACAAGUCUGUGUCUCCCACUUUUGGCCUCGUCUUCACAAUCUGGCACUUCCCCUGCCCUCCCCCUUUUCAGCUUCCUGCAUUUCAACACCCAGGGUGAUAAUUGAGGGCGGCAAGUAGGCAGUUUGAGACACCCCAAGCCUCUUGCUCUGUGCUCUUUGCACGCCUGAGAACGCGACUGGCAUCUCCUAGGACCGCUGAUGGCAACGGCUGAGCCCUGGCGGGAAGCUCUGGGGCUGCUGACUGCACUGGGGAUGGUCUGUCAGUGUCCCCAGGAAGCCGAGGGGGAUCUCGUGGAGCAGGAAUCAAGGUGUCCCUGUGAGACUCUCCACUCAAGACAGCUGUUCCCUGCCUCUGCUUCCCGCCACUCCAAGCCUAGCGCUGCAACACAGUGGAUGGAUCGGAAGGGACCCAAGCUGGGUUUUGAGGUCACUCUGCGACCCAUACCUAUCCAGCCAGAGCUCCCCAUUCCUGGCACCGGAUCUCGAUUCCACUUUAGAAGGUGAGACUUUAUUUCCACAUCUAUGAAAUGGGAAAAUAGUCCCUUAUUAGCAAAGUGUUGUGGGAGGAGGGUUUGUGAGACCCCCAGUUACCAGUGCCGUGUGAUAAAACACCCCAGUGCUUAGAGGUUUAAAACAGUGCAACACAUACUUUAUUCAUAAACGUGCAAUCUGGGCCGGGUUUGGUAAGGAUGGCUUGAUGAGAGUCUGUUCAACAUCGGCUGGGGCAGCUCAAAGGCUGAAGCCUGGAACCAGCUGAAAGCUCAGCCAUUCACAUAGCUGAGCCCUCGGCUGUGGCUGUCAGUCCAAACGACGAGGUUCGACCUCUCCACGGGGUGGGGGCGCUCCUGAUGACAGGUGGGCUGGGUAUCAAGGGUAAGCGUCUCAAGAGAAUCAGGCAGAAGGUGGAUGACCUUUUAUGACCUAGCCUCACGCAUCAUGCCGAGCCCUCUCUUCCACAUUCUACUUGUAAAGGCAGUCACAAAGUCCCACUCAGGUUCAAGGGGAGGGGAAAAGACUACCUCUUAGUGGGAAGUGGCAAGAUUUUGAAAGAUCACAUGGGAUGGGAGACGUUGUAGCCAUUUUUGGAAGAUAUAAUCCGCCACCAAAGGGCAGGAUGAGAAAAUGCCAUGUAGGUAUUUAGCACACGAGUGCUUACUAGUUGGUAGCUGUUAUUAUUACCCCUGCUGUUAUGGGAAAGAUCCAGCAUCUCUUUGCAUGAAAACAUCCUUCAGACCUUCUGAUAGUUAAAGG
rnacentral:lncRNA from 1 species